rnacentral:rRNA from 1 species
UAAGGAAUAUUGGUCAAUGGGCGCAAGCCUGAACCAGCCAUGCCGCGUGAAGGAUGACGGCCCUAUGGGUUGUAAACUUCUUUUGUACGGGAAAAAACCUCUGGUCGUGUACCAGAGCUGAUGGUACCGUAAGAAUAAGCAUCGGCUAACUCCGUGCCAGCAGCCGCGGUAAUACGGAGGAUGCAAGCGUUACCCGGAUUCAUUGGGUUUAAAGGGUGCGCAGGCGGAUUAUUAAGUCAGUGGUGAAAGCCUACAGCUUAACUGUAGAACUGCCAUUGAUACUGAUAUUCUUGAGUGUUGUUGAGGUAGGCGGAAUGUGUCAUGUAGCGGUGAAAUGCUUAGAUAUGACACAGAACACCGAUCGCGAAGGCAGCUUACCAAGCAACAACUGACGCUCAU